AUAAAGAGAAAGAGAGAGAGAGAGAGAGAGAGAGAGAGAGACUACGUUGAGUUUCACUAGGUUUUUUUUUCCUUACUUUACCUUUUACGCGUAGUGGCUUCUCACCUUCUUCCUCUUCAGUUUCUAGUUCAUCUCAAAGCAGUCACAUGCUCCAUUUCUUUAGCUUUACAUUAUACAACUUACAACCUUCUGUUGUUCCCUCUCAUAAAUAUCUAUUGAGAUGAACUCGUCAUCCUUUCCGAUCUGUAACGUAGCUCCCCAUAAUUUUUGAUCGUUAGUUUUCUCUUCAAGUGAGGAACUUUACCCUUAUAAAAAACCCCAAAGUUUUCUUCCAAGAGGAUUUUGAAAUCUCUACUACUUUUCUGUCAGAAUAAUUUAUCUCUUAAAUCUUCCGACUACUUGCUGGAUUUCAGUUCUAAGUAGUACAACUAUGGUAAGAAGUAUUUUGGAUUACGAGAUGUCAGAAAGGAGCAAGACAAAAAGGGAGCUUAGAUGUUAUGUGGAAGAGUAAGAUUAAGCGUGGUGGAAUAAUUGUCGGUUAUGGAAUAGUUUGAAUUCUAAUUUAUGGCAUUUUUCUUUAUGAACAAACAAUUUGAGUGAAACUUGGUGUUUUGAACUCUUUUUAUAUAUAAAGGUUUUCUCAUAGUUCUUUUCUUGUUAUUGUUAUGUUAUCAUGCAUGUCAAUGAAAACAUCUCCAAUAGUUAAAAAAAUUGGGGGCGUUAGAAUUGGUAACACAGCAAAGGUUUUAUAGGUUCUACAGACACUAUGAUUUUUAUUGGAUUUUGAAAUUUGGGUAGGAAAUGGUAAAGUAAGAGACUGGUUGAUUUUUUUUUUUUUUUGAAUGAGCUAAGUUUGCCUACUUAGUCAUUUUAGUUUUAAAAUAGUUAUUUUGAUUUUUAGGAUGACUUCUCAACAUAAUUUCGUCAAUUUAAAUGAGCCAAUCAGUGGGGAGACUUCGACUGGACCAAGUUCCAAUGGUUCUGCGGUAAUACAGGAAGUAUCGCAACAAGUGAUGAAAGAAAUUGCAUGUAACUCUACAAUGAGGAAUGGACAUAUAUUAAAUGAAAGAUGCACUAUAGAACAAUUUAACCGAUUGUGACAUCCAACAAUUGAAGGAAAGGCUGAUCCGAUUGCUGCUAAGGAUUGGAUUCAAGACACUGAAGAAAUUCUUAGAGUUUUGCGAUGCACCGAUGAACAAAAAGUUUUGUUCUCAACAUUUAAAUUGAUUAGAGAAGCAAAACGUUGGUAGAUAUAAAAAAGGACGCUCUUGGAACAGGUAAUGGAGCAAACUCCAAUCACAUGGAAUCGUUUUAAGGAAAUUUCGAUGGGCCCCAAGGCGGACCAAGUCUUAAGGAUCAAUUACAAGAUCAAGAGCUAAGAAGAUCAAGGAGGUUAUGCAAAGAUGACUGAAAUCCACUUGGGACGAGUCUAACAAGAGCCCAACAUUCAAGAUGGGCUUAAAAGAAGAAAAUCUAAUUCUCACUCACAUGAUACAACAAGUUAUAGAAGACAUGACUUGCACUACAAAAAAAAGCAAAAUUGGCGGCGUUUCUAUGUGCGGCAUUUGUUUAUGCGCCAGUAGAUAUAUAAAUUUACCGGCACUUAAUGUUUCCGCCAGGAAAUUAUUGAGAUUCUCGGCAUUUAAAUUUUUACGCCGAUAAUAAUAUAUAGCUUUGGCGGCGUUUAUAACAACGCCGCAAAGAUAGUAAUGAUGCGUCGGGAAAUUAGUAGUUUCCAGACAUUUAUAUUGUUACGCAGGUAAUAAUAUAUGUUUUUGUGGCGUUUAAACAAA